GAUGAACGCUAGCUACAGGCUUAACACAUGCAAGUCGAGGGGAAACGAUGAGAGAGCUUGCUCUCUUAGGCGUCGACCGGCGCACGGGUGAGUAACGCGUAUCCAACCUACCCAUUACAGGGGGAUAACCUUGCGAAAGUAAGACUAAUACCCCAUGGCAUUUUAUGGUGGCAUCAUUAUAGGAUUAAAGAUUUAUUGGUAAUGGAUGGGGAUGCGUCUGAUUAGCUUGUUGGCGGGGUAACGGCCCACCAAGGCAACGAUCAGUAGGGGUUCUGAGAGGAAGGUCCCCCACAUUGGAACCGAGACACGGUCCAAACUCCUACGGGAGGCAGCAGUGAGGAAUAUUGGUAAAUGGGCGAGAGCUUGAACCAGCCAAGUAGCGUGCAGGAUGACGGCACUAUGGGUUGUAAACUGCUUUUAUAGGGGAAUAAAGUGAGCUACGUGUAGUUUAUUGCAUGUACCCUAUGAAUAAGGACCGGCUAAUUCCGUG
rnacentral:rRNA from 1 species